GAACUCAGCAAAGGCUGGAGCUCCGGACAGCAGCUGCCAGCAUCCAUCACUAUCUGCUAAUCUAAGCCUGGAGAGUGAUGAUCUGGAACAUCAACUCUGGAGGAGAGGGAAAGUACUUCUGGCCAGACACUCCAAAACCCAAACUGCCCUGAAGUUCAGAGUGGACUGUGGGUUCCCCAAACUGUUAUUUCUCCAUGGCUGUUCUCAAUUUAAAAAAAAAACUCCAUUGGGGCACAUGAGCGGGGGUAGCAAAGGACCUCGUGGUCACAUGCACUAUUACAAGUUGUCUCGGGAUGACGGCUGGAGAGGAAGCGCCAGGCUCUGUCCUUCUCAGUUCAAGAGGCUCCAGGCAUCACACUGGCAUCACCUCCACUCUGGUAAGGUCCUUAAGGAGGAUGGCAUCACAACAGUAGGAGAACAUGCUGCAUGGACAGCUCAGCUGAUGUUCAGUUCAUAAUGCCAAUAAAUUCAAGCAAGAAACGGAACCAAGCCUCACUCUUUGCCACUAGCGACCCGCCUACUCUGUACUCAUACAUAUGCAAGCACCUCCUUCUAGCCUCUCUUCAGGUGGUGAAGACCUCUUUGUCUCCUGGUGUGAUCUGCUGCCUCACACUCCAGCACCGAAUGUCCCAGCCAAGGCAGCCAAUAUGCUUUCCUGUCCUAACACUGCGAGUUCAAAUAAACCCCUGGGUUGCCUGUGUCAGAGACUGUCUCCAUAACAAGAAAAGUGGGCCACACACACAAAGAAGACAGGGAAGGAGCCCGGAGACUUGCUGAGAAGUCAGGUUCCAGCAGGA